UUGAGUUGGCAGUGUAUUUUCAGUCACAUGUCUAUGUGGUUUGUGCAUCUCCACUGGUUGUCUGGACAAGCAAUCAUCUCCUCUUUGUCAGGUAAGUGAUCAAACACACUCCUCCAGUGAGUUGAGGUCUCUCCAUCUCUGCACGGUUGAGUGUAACACUUUCAUCCUCCUAAACACUGUCCAUCAAACUCCUGCAAAGUUUACAAACAGGAACCAUCAACAGACACUCACACACUUCGAGUAUUUCUAACCACACAGAUACUCUGCUGUCUGGUACAGUCUCUAAUGACUUGUAAGGCAGCUGUGGGGCAUCUCAUG
ensembl:lncRNA